AGUGAACGCUGGCGGUAGGCCUAACACAUGCAAGUCGAACGGCAGCACAGUAAGAGCUUGCUCUUACGGGUGGCGAGUGGCGGACGGGUGAGGAAUACAUCGGAAUCUACUUUUUCGUGGGGGCUAACGUCGGGAAACUUACGCUAAUACCGCAUACGACCUACGGGUGAAAGCAGGGGAUCUUCGGACCUUGCGCGAUUGAAUGAGCCGAUGUCGGAUUAGCUAGUUGGCGGGGUAAAGGCCCACCAAGGCGACGAUCCGUAGCUGGUCUGAGAGGAUGAUCAGCCACACGGGAACUGAGACACGGUCCAGACUCCUACGGGAGGCAGCAGUGGGGAAUAUUGGACAAAGGGCGCAAGCCGGAUCCAGCCAUACCGCGUGGGGGAAGAAGGCCUUCGGGUUGUAAAGCCCUGUUGUUGGGAAAGAAAAGCAGCAGGUUAAUACCCCGCUGUUCUGACGGUACCCAAAGAAUAAGCACCGGCUAACUUCGUG
rnacentral:rRNA from 1 species